UACGGAGGGUGCAAGCGUUAUCCGGAUUUACUGGGUUUAAAGGGUGCGUAGGCGGCUUGAUAAGUCAGUGGUGAAAGCCCAGAGCUCAACUCUGGAAUUGCCUUUGAUACUGUCAGGCUUGAGUAUGGUUGAAGUAGGCGGAAUGUAGCAUGUAGCGGUGAAAUGCUUAGAUAUGCUACAGAACACCGAUUGCGAAGGCAGCUUGCUAAGCCAUUACUGACGCUGAGGCAAGAAAGCGUGGGGAGCGAACAGG
rnacentral:rRNA from 1 species